rnacentral:rRNA from 1 species
UACGUAGGGGGCAAGCGUUAUCCGGAUUUACUGGGUGUAAAGGGAGCGUAGACGGUUGUAUAAGUCUGGAGUGAAAGCCCGGGGCCCAACCCCGGGACUGCUUUGGAAACUGUGUUUCUUGAGUGCAGAAGAGGAGAGUGGAACUCCAUGUGUAGCGGUGGAAUGCGUAGAUAUAUGGAAGAACACCAGUGGCGAAGGCGGCUCUCUGGUCUGUAACUGACGCUGAGGCUCGAAAGCAUGGGUAGCGAACAGG